ACAGUAGUAGCUCAGUGGUUAAGGUGUUGGAAUACUGAUCAGAAGGUUGUGAGUUCAAAUCCUGCCACUACUGGG